GCGUGGCUUGAGAAGAAAGGGGCGGGGUUUAAUUGGAUGUGGACGUGGUUUGGGCGGUGGGCGUGGCCUGAGUGGGCGUGUCCCGCAGGAGGAGGAGGAGGAGGAGGAGGAAGGCCGAGGGGGCGGAGCCAAAGCGCCGGGGCUGGGGGGGGGGCGGCGCUACGUGCCCCCCCGCCUGGUGCCCGUGGCCUGCGAGCCCCCUGAGGACGCCGUUUCCCGCUCCCAAUCCCGGCUCCGGCGCCGGGCCCUCUCCUCGCUGGCGCUGCGGGAGCUGCGGGACGAGUUGGGGGAGGGGCCCCGGCAGGAGGGGGAGGGGCCGGGCCACGCCCCCCCCGCCCAGAUCCACAGGCGCCGCUUUGAGGAGUCGAUGCUGCGGCGCCUCAGCGCCCCCUGGCGGCCGCCAAAGGGGGCGGGGCCAGGCCUGGAUGACGUCACCAACCUCGGGGCGUUUCCCGCCCUUUUGGGAGCGGCCAAUCAGGUGCGGGGGGCGUGGCCUGGGGGGGGAAAAGGCGGGA
rnacentral:lncRNA from 1 species